rnacentral:rRNA from 1 species
AAGGAAUAUUGGUCAAUGGACGCAAGUCUGAACCAGCCAUGCCGCGUGGAGGAUGAAGGUCCUCUGGAUUGUAAACUUCUUUUAUCGGAGAAGAAACCCUAGCAUUCUUGCUGGGUUGACGGUACCCGAUGAAUAAGCACCGGCUAACUACGUGCCAGCAGCCGCGGUCAUACGUAGGGUCCAAGCGUUAUCCGGAAUUACUGGGCGUAAAGAGUUGCGUAGGUGGCAUAGUAAGCGAAUAGUGAAAUGACGAGGCUCAACCUUGUGUCCAUUAUUUGAACUGCUAAGCUAGAGAAUGAGAGAGGUCACUGGAAUUCCCUGUGUAGGAGUGAAAUCCGUAGAUAUAGGGAGGAACACCGAUGGCGUAGGCAGGCGACUGGCUCAUUUCUGACACUAAGGCACGAAAGCGUGGGGAGCAAA